rnacentral:lncRNA from 1 species
CCGAGAUAUCUGCUGCUCGAUUACUCUGGCUGUUCCGUGCGCUCGCUCCCCAGGCUAUAAAUCGGGCCCUCGCCACCCCCCCUCUAAUCCAUCUAGCAAGCCAUGGCUGGACACCGCUUUCCCCUGAAGCCUUAACCACGCACGAUCUGAAAGCGUGAGGUCACCGGCGAGCACGAAUUCAAGAGAGAACAAAAAAAAAUCGUCGCCGCGCUGAGGAGAGAAAGAAAUCGCGCCAUACGCAUGGCCAUGGUCGUCGUCGGGGCUUCAGGGCCACUCAAGCUUGCAGCAGUUGCUUCUGGGGGCCUAACCACGGCGCGCCCUGCGUAGCAGGGUUGGGAAGACGGACUGGGAUCGCUCCUGGGCAGCUGUUGCGGUGCCGGUAGGGCAGUUGCGUGUUUGCGGCUGCUCCUGUGCGCUGGAGGGUCGCUGGGUCCGGCACUAUGGGCUCGUCACCAUAGUCCACGGAUUCGUACCGGAAAGUCUCACCGUGCGUGGAGGUCCGGGCAGGUGAACUUUCUGCGGCGGUUUGGCGGCCGAAGAUCUUGGAAUUUGUUGACGAAAUGCAUGCUCCUCCGCAUGUCCGAUGUGCGCCGUGGCCAGGGGUAUUCAUUCUGCGAUUGCCGGUAAGACACCUCCCAUGAUGUUCGCCGUCCUCCCUUGUACGUCUGGAUUAGAUCCGCUUUUUGGAUGGGACACCAGUGCACCGAGGCGCCGUUCACCGACGUAGGCUACCGUCGUUGGGGCGGCGCCGCCGUACCCCUGUAGCUGAGCGAGGAAGAAAGACCCCUGGUCGUCCGAUUGGCUUUGGGCGGCCUGGAUUAGAGGCUCGUACCUAUUCAACUCGGCCGGAUCUCGACCGUUGAUCGGUUAUCCUAGGCUUGUGUUAGAUCUGGGCGUGGGACGUUAUGGUCCAUGGAUCUCGAAUCGUGCGGCUGGCACCUGAUACCGGUUCGCUGUUGCGCGAUUUAAUAUGGGGCGUGCAUCCUUGAUCCAACGACCCGAAUUAACCGAUACCCUUUCGACCUGCGCGUUUUGCAAAAGAGACCUCAUAUUUAACUAUAAACAACCCGCAGUCCGCACUGUGGGAAUACUGAGUCUUGGGAAAAUUGUGAUUUAGGCCCUUGAUCUUUUAAGAAAUAUUGUGUCCAGUCCAGAACACUUAGGAUAUUCAGAAAUUAAUAAAGAAAUAGGUUUUUAGUAUGAAAAUAAUUCCAUAAACUUGUAUAAUUGAUAGUUAAUUCAUUUUAGCUCCAAAUUGAGUCAUUCCAGUUGCUAUAAUUUUGUUUUAAUAUUGUCUAUCAACUAGUAACACUGUUUAGCCAUGAAACUUGAAUUAAAAUUGUCCAUUUGAAUUAAUCUGUUCUAGGUGCUACAUAACUUGAGAAAUCCAUAACUUGGUAACCGUAACUCCGAAUUUAAUGAUUCUUGUUCCCACGGUCUCGUAGAAACGCGUAGAUUAUGACUACGCAAUUUAUUCUUAUGAUUGGUGUGAUGUUAAUUUUGCCUAUACCAUGUAUGUCUGUAUUGCUACGUUUAGCAGUGAGGUCACGUGUCAUCUGAAGAGCAAGUUGGUACCUUCUCAAGUGCCAGGCAAGUUGUGCCCUUGAUCACUUCUUUUUACCCAGCCAUGUUCUGAUUAAUCAUAAUGAUCUGCAUAGGUUAAUUUUGAUGGGACCCAAUAGGUUACCCUAGUUUGAUUAUCUUUAUACCUUGUUACCACUGAACUUUUUGGGUAGUACUUGCUAGUGCUUUAUGUGGUUUUGGGUAUGAAGAUACAUUACUCAUGAUUAUACUUUUGUUAUCCGUUGUUAUUUAUCAUUCAUGAUAAGAUCAUUAUGUUAAUUGGAACAUGGAGCGACCACCCGGGAAAAUUGUGCUACCACAAGGGUAUAAUGGGACGCCCUUGGCUGAUUAAUUAGGAAAGCUAGUGGAGGACUACCUUACCCGAAAGGGGCAAGGGCAGUAGGGGAGUGGUCAGUGUAGGGAGGCCCUUGGGAUGAUUUUGCUGCGAUGGCGGUCAUGCAAGGGAUUCCUGCAUUGGAGCUUCCUAUAAACUGUAGCGGGUUUUCUAAAGCUAGUGGAACUUUGUAAAGGCCUCGUAGUGUUACCCUGCCUCGCCUCCUCGGUAGAGGUGUAUGGGAAGUCGCGAUCCCUUGGCAGAUGGGUAACAUGACUUGUGGGUAAAGAUGCGCAACCUCUGCAGAGUGUAAAACUGGUAUACUAGCCAUGCUCACGGUCAUGAGCGGCUCGGACACUCAUAUGAUUAAAUUAUGGAACUUAAACUCAAUUUGUCAUAUGCAUUGCAUCGCAGGUGAUGUUGUUACUUUUGUUCUACUACUUAAUUGGGUUGGUAUUUACUUAUACUUAGUAAUUGCUAAUAAAAAUUUGACCAACUUUAAAAGCAAUGCUUAGCUCAAACCAUCCUCUUUGGUAAGCCUUACACUUCACGUGAGCUCCCACCUUUGGCGAGUUCAUGCACAUUAUUCCCCACAACUUGUUGAGCGAUGAACGUAUGUGAGCCCACUCUUGCUGUCUCACACCCCCCCACAGGUCAAGAACAAGUACCGCAGGAUGAGGCGCUUGGAGGAUGCUGUGACGAGUUCGUGAGAGGUCUAGGCCGUCGUCUCCCAGUCAACUUUGGGUUGCUGGACCGCUGUCUCCUUAUAAUGUAAUUAUUUAUUUAUUUUGUAUAGAACUUCUAUUAUGUAGUAAAGAUGUGACAUUCGAUCCUGUGCCAUGAUUCAUCAUAUGUGUGAGACUUGGUCCCAGCACACCUGGUGAUUAUGUUCGCGCCCGGGUCUUGGUGCCCCAAAAUCCGGGUGUGACAGAAGUGGUAUCAGAGGAAUGUUGACUGUAGGACGAAACCUAGAUAGAACCGGACAACCAUUAUCUACUUACCUCUGCUAUUCUGAUUCUUUUCUAAACUUUUUUAAUCUUUUCUCGUCUAUUCCCGCUUUACUCUGAUUAUUCUUACCUUUUAUUUCUAAAAGACAAAUGUGGAUUUCACACUUUGAAAUCCCGUACCUAAAGUGACUCUUAGGACUAGGAGACCUAAUCUUAGAAACAAAAACAAAACUAUUUUUAUGGGUAUCUAUACGCUUGAAUGUUUGUUCUUAUGAUACUUGUCUGAUUUGGAUCUUUGAUUGAGUAUGAUGAGUUGUGGAGUAAUGUCCAUAAUUAUAUCUGCAUAUACAUAAUGCUUAUAAAACUAACUAGACAAACUAGAUUAUCUCUCAUUAAAGUAUCUAGCCUAAUAAUAUCCAUCUCAUCAUAAAAGAUUCUAUCAUACACUCAUAGAUCCAUCUCAUCCCAAAAGAUCCUAACUUAUCCUAAUUAAAAUAUAUCUAGCUUAAUAGAUCCAUCCUAUCUCAAAAAAAAUUCUAACAUAUCCUAAUAAUAUUUAUCCUACCUUAGUAGAUCUAUCUAGCCUAAACUAGUCUAAUCUAGUCAUACCCAAUCUAAUCUAGACCCUAUCUAAUCUAAUAUGAUUUAACCUAGUGGGUGAUUCUUAAUGCUGGUAAAAAAAAGAUAUGGCCAUACUCGUAAUUCACUUAAGACUAAAUUGGUGACUUAAAUCAACUUGGCCAUACUCAACAACUUGACCUACAUAACAGGUUACAUAACUAAUCCCAUCUAGCAUAUAGCUACCUACUAAACCCUCUACCCAUCUGUUACCUAUAGAUCUAUCUUGACCUUUUGUCCCAAACUCGGAUGGAUACAUCAAAGCUCAAGAAGGAAGAGAUCAAUCUCAUUAAAGAAUAGGAAUCAAGCUAGACCCCAAAGGAAGCUAGAUUAUGCCAGGUCAACACUCAUUUUAUGCGACCUAUCCACUAACCAUUUGUCCCUACCUACAAGCCAUCUUAACUAUAUGUCCCCAACUUGGGUGACGAUUCCAAGGCCGAAGAUCGAAGAUGAUCGACCUCAUCAAAUCAAGGAAGGAUAGGAUUUAAGCUAGAUCUUCAAAGGAAUCAGGAUCCACAAGUCUUGGAUGGAGUCUUUCCUUACCCUACUAUGUCCUACCCAAGCCUAUCCAUGCUUUAAAAACAUUUUUUACACAUUGGAUGGUUGUAUAUAUAUAUAUAUACCCAUACCUAUAAAAAAAUUCUUUAUUUUGGAACCAAUUAGAAACUAAAAGCUGAAUUACAAACCAAUCCUUCUACAUCCUUUUUCUCUUACAAAUCUCGAGGACGAGAUUUCUGUUAAGGGGGUAGGAUUUGUAAACUAUCUUCAAAGCCGGGAGGUUGCUCAACAUAGACCUCUUCCUUGAUUGGUCCAUUGAGGAAGCGUAAAGCCCUAAAAUUGGUAUAAAAAAAGAUUAAUAAAUGCAUAUAUUGAUAUAAUAGUGUUUUAGGGAUUUUUGAAACCUUUGGAUAUUAUUGGAAUUCUCAUGCUUUUGAAUGUCCAAUUGAAUAGAAUUAAGCUAGCCAAAUAAUAAAAUAAAUAGAUAUAAUAUUAUGCACCUCAUGAUGGAGUUAUUGUAUUUUUACCUGUGUACACAAAACUUUGAGACAAGUUUAAGUUUGAAAAGUAGAAUUUGUAAUACCUAAAAUUUUAUAUUGAGAUUUAGAAGAGAUUAAAAAAAAUCUAAAAUCUAUUUUAAAAACUCAAGUAAGAAAUAAUAGAAUGACAUCUAUUUUGUUUGUUUGAGCAUAUUAUACUUUCACGAGUUAUCUAUGGAGCCGUAUUUGCCUAAAUGAAUAAAAGGACUAAAAUAUAUAGGUAUAUAACUCUACAUUGUAUGUUGAGAUUUUCUUUGAUUGUGCAUUCUAAUUAAACUUGGAAUUCAAACUUUAUUAGAAUUUGAUUUGAAAUUCGAAAUUUGAUAAUAAAAAAAAGAGCUAAACCCCUGCAUAGGCUGGCUUCUCCACUGCUUGGGCCAGACGCGCGCGCACACAACUUGCCUACCCAUAAGCACUUGGGUGCCAACGGCUGGGCUAAAUUACUCUCCCGCAUGACAUAAACCCAACCGCAUAGCCACACUAGUUUUGCCUCAAUUAUUUAUUCAUCUUGCCGCAACAUACGUCAUCCUGACAUAAGCAAUGAUGUCAUCUAGCUGGCUCUCCCACGUAUCGCUGGUAUGGAUCCGACUAGCAUUUGUGCGCUCAGCCGUGUUGCUGCGAAACGGGCCCCCUAGCCAGUGCCUCCGUGAACCUGUUCGUGCCUGGUUUCGUUGAUAGGUGGAGUCGCAUAUACAGGCUCUUUGUUUCCAGUUCGUUGAAGAUCCCAGCAAUCUUUGCGGUCGUUGCAACAACCCGCCGAGAUAUCUGCUGCUCGAUUACUCUGGCUGUUCCGUGCGCUCGCCCCCCAGGCUAUAAAUCGGGCCCUCGCCACCCCCCCUCUAAUCCAUCUAGCAAGCCAUGGCUGGACACCGCUUUCCCCUGAAGCCUUAACCACGCACGAUCUGAAAGCGUGAGGUCACCGGCGAGCACGAAUUCAAGAGAGAACAAAAAAAAUCGUCGCCGCGCUGAGGAGAGAAAGAAAUUGCGCCAUACGCAUGGCCAUGGUCGUCGUCGGGGCUUCAGGGCCACUCAAGCUUGCAGCAGUUGCUUCUGGGGGCCUAACCACGGCGCGCCCUGCGUAGCAGGGUUGGGAAGACGGACUGGGAUCGCUCCUGGGCAGCUGUUGCGGUGCCGGUAGGGCAGUUGCGUGUUUGCGGCUGCUCCUGUGCGCUGGAGGGUCGCUGGGUCCGGCACUGUGGGCUCGUCACCAUAGUCCACGGAUUCAUACCGGAAAGUCUCACCGUGCGUGGAGGUCCGGGCAGGUGAACUUUCUGCGGUGGUUUGGCGGCCGAAGAUCUUGGAAUUUGUUGACGAAAUGCAUGCUCCUCCGCAUGUCCGCUGUGCGCCGUGGCCAGGGGUAUUCAUUCUGCGAUUGCCGGUAAGACACCUCCCAUGAUGUUCGCCGUCCUCCCUUGUACGUCUGGAUUAGAUCCGUUUUUUGGAUGGGACACCAGUGCACCGAGGCGCCGUUCACCGACGUAGGCUACCGUCGUUGGGGCAGCGCCGCCGUACCCCUGUAGCUGAGCGAGGAAGAAAGACCCCUGGUCGUCCGAUUGGCUUUGGGCGGCCUGGAUUAGAGGCUCGUACCUAUUCAACUCGGCCGGAUCUCGACCGUUGAUCGGUUAUCCUAGGCUUGUGUUAGAUCUGGGCGUGGGACGUUAUGGUCCAUGGAUCUCGAAUCGUGCGGCUGGCACCUGAUACCGGUUCGCUGUUGCGCGAUUUAAUAUGGGGCGUGCAUCCUUGAUCCAACGGCCCGAAUUAACCGAUACCCUUUCGACCUGCGUGUUUUGCAAAAGAGACCUCAUAUUUAACUAUAAACAACCCGCAGUCCGCACUGUGGGAAUACUGAGUCUUGGGAAAAUUGUGAUUUAGGCCCUUGAUCUUUUAAGAAAUAUUGUGUCCAGUCCAGAACACUUAGGAUAUUCAGAAAUUAAUAAAGAAAUAGGUUUUUAGUAUGAAAAUAAUUCCAUAAACUUGUAUAAUUGAUAGUUAAUUCAUUUUAGCUCCAAAUUGAGUCAUUCCAGUUGCUAUAAUUUUGUUUUAAUAUUGUCUAUCAACUAGUAACACUGUUUAGCCAUGAAACUUGAAUUAAAAUUGUCCAUUUGAAUUAAUCUGUUCUAGGUGCUACAUAACUUGAGAAAUCCAUAACUUGGUAACCGUAACUCCGAAUUUAAUGAUUCUUGUUCCCACGGUCUCGUAGAAACGCGUAGAUUAUGAUUACGCAAUUUAUUCUUAUGAUUGGUGUGAUGUUAAUUUUGCCUAUACCAUGUAUGUCUGUAUUGCUAGGUUUAGCAGUGAGGUCACGUGUCAUCUGAAGAGCAAGUUGGUACCUUCUCAAGUGCCAGGCAAGUUGUGCCCUUGAUCACUUCUUUUUACCCAGCCAUGUUCUGAUUAAUCAUAAUGAUCUGCAUAGGUUAAUUUUGAUGGGACCCAAUAGGUUACCCUAGUUUGAUUAUCUUUAUACCUUGUUACCACUGAACUUUUUGGGUAGUACUUGCUAGUGCUUUAUGUGGUUUUGGGUAUGAAGAUACGUUACUCAUGAUUAUACUUUUGUUAUCCGUUGUUAUUUAUCGUUCAUGAUAAGAUCAUUAUGUUAAUUGGAACAUGGAGCGACCACCCGGGAAAACAGUGCUACCACAAGGGUAUAAUGGGACGCCCUUGGCUGAUUAAUUAGGAAAGCUAGUGGAGGACUACCUUACCCGAAAGGGGCAAGGGCAGUAGGGGAGUGGUCAGUGUAGGGAGGCCCUCGGGACGAUUUUGCUGCGAUGGCGGUCAUGCAAGGGAUUCCUGCAUUGGAGCUUCCAAUAAACUGUAGCGGGUUUUCUGAAGCUAGUGGAACUUUGUAAAGGCCUCGUAGUGUUACCCUGCCUCGCCUCCUCGGUAGAGGUGUAUGGGAAGUCGCGAUCCCUUGGCAGAUGGGUAACAUGACUUGUGGGUAAAGAUGCGCAACCUCUGCAGAGUGUAAAACUGGUAUACUAGCCGUGCUCACGGUCAUGAGCGGCUCGGACACUCACAUGAUUAAAUUAUGGAACUUAAACUCAAUUUGUCAUAUGCAUUGCAUCGCAGGUGAUGUUGUUACUUUUGUUCUACUACUUAAUUGGGUUGGUAUUUACUUAUACUUAGUAAUUGCUAAUAAAAAUUUGACCAACUUUAAAAGCAAUGCUUAGCUCAAACCAUCCUCUUUGGUAAGCCUUACACUUCACGUGAGCUCCCACCUUUGGCGAGUUCAUGCACAUUAUUCCCCACAACUUGUUGAGCGAUGAACGUAUGUGAGCUCACUCUUGCUGUCUCACACCCCCCCACAGGUCAAGAACAGGUACCGCAGGAUGAGGCGCUUGGAGGAUGCUGUGACGAGUUCGUGAGAGGUCUAGGCCGUCGUCUCCCAGUCAACUUUGGGUUGCUGGACCGCUGUCUCCUUAUAAUGUAAUUAUUUAUUUAUUUUGUAUAGAACUUCUAUUAUGUAGUAAAGAUGUGACAUUCGAUCCUGUGCCAUGAUUCAUCAUAUGUGUGAGACUUGGUCCCAGCACACCUGGUGAUUAUGUUCGCGCCCGGGUCUUGGUGCCCCAAAAUCCGGGUGUGACAUCACUAGAAUGUAGCAUUUACUCCCAAAAACUCGAAAAUACGAAACAUUGGGUUUGUUA